AUUUAUGAGAGUUUGAUCCUAGCUCAGGAUUAACGCUGGCGGCAUGCCUAACACAUGCAAGUCGAAUGUGUCUCUCACUUUGUUGCACAAUAACUAUUUAUUGGGUGAUAGAGUGAGGGAUAACAUGGCAGACGGCUGAGUAACACGUGGGUAUCUACCCUGGGGUCGGGUAUAACUCCGCGAAAGCGGAAAUAAUUCCCGAUAUGUCCCGCCCCAGUUUUGUUAACAAUUCUACUGGUUUGGAUAUUGUUGGUAAAACUGGAGCGGGAUGAAAGAUUUAUCGCCCGAGGAGGAACCUGCGUCCGAUUAGCUUGUUGGUGGGGUAAAGGCCUACCAAGGCUAUGAUCGGUAACUGGUCUGAGAGGAUGACCAGUCAGACUGGGACUGAGACACGGCCCAGACUCCUACGGGAGGCAGCAGUGAGGAAUUUUCCACAAUGGGCGAAAGCCUGAUGGAGCAAUGCCGCGUGCAGGAAGAAGGCCUUCGGGUUGUAAACUGCUUUUAUAGGGGAAGAUUAUGACGGUACUUUAUGAAUAAGGGCCUGCUAACUACGUGCCAGCAGCAGCGGUAAUACGUAGGGCCCGAGCGUUAUCCGGAUUCACUGGGCGUAAAGAGUUCGUAGGCUGGUGAGUAAGUCUACUGUUAAAGACCCUAGCUCAACUAGGGGAAAGCGGUGGAAACUACUUACCUAGAGAGUGGUAGAGGCAGAUGGAAUUCUCGGUGUAGGAGUUAUAUCCGUAGAUAUCGAGAAGAACACCAAAGGCGUAGGCAGUCUGCUGGGCCAUCUCUGACGCUGAGGAACGAAAGCGUGGGGAGCGAACGGGAUUAGAUACCCCGGUAGUCCACGCCCUAAACGAUGGAUACUAGGCAUAGGUGGCUUCGGUCCCCUCUGUGCCGCAGCUAACGCAUUAAGUAUCCCGCCUGGGGAGUACGAGCGCAAGCUUAAAACUCAAAGGAAUUGACGGGGACCCGCACAAGCGGUGGAGCACGUGGUUUAAUUCGAUGAUAAGCGAAGCACCUCACCAAGACUU
rnacentral:rRNA from 1 species